rnacentral:rRNA from 1 species
UACGUAGGGGGCUAGCGUUGUCCGGAUUUAUUGGGCGUAAAGAGCGUGUAGGCGGCCAGGUAGGUCUGCUGUGAAAACUCGAGGCUCAACCUCGAGACGUCGGCGGAAACCAUCUGGCUAGAGUCCGGAAGAGGAGAGUGGAAUUCCUGGUGUAGCGGUGAAAUGCGCAGAUAUCAGGAAGAACACCCGUGGCGAAGGCGGCGUCCUGGACCAACACUGACACUGAGAGACGAAAGCUAGGGGAGCGAAUGGG